AGCGGCAGACGGGUGAGUAACGCGUGGGAAUCUACCUUUUGCUACGGAAUAACUCAGGGAAACUUGUGCUAAUACCGUAUGUGCCCUUCGGGGGAAAGAUUUAUCGGCAAAGGAUGAGCCCGCGUUGGAUUAGCUAGUUGGUGGGGUAAAGGCCCACCAAGGCGACGAUCCAUAGCUGGUCUGAGAGGAUGAUCAGCCACACUGGGACUGAGACACGGCCCAGACUCCUACGGGAGGCAGCAGUGGGGAAUAUUGGACAAUGGGCGCAAGCCUGAUCCAGCCAUGCCGCGUGAGUGAUGAAGGCCCUAGGGUUGUAAAGCUCUUUCACCGGUGAAGAUAAUGACGGUAA
rnacentral:rRNA from 1 species